rnacentral:lncRNA from 1 species
AUGCUAAAAACCAACCAUCAUGAUAACCAGCAUGACCAGUGUUCCAUUUUGCAUAUGUAUGAUGGGAUACAUAAGCACAACAUCAAACUUUUUCAGUAUUUGGUGAGUGGGCUGACUUAAACCAUUGAUGAUUGUGUCUGAGCAUGAAAUGUAUGCUAAUUUCUCAAUCUGUAUUCUAUUUUCUCAAUCUGGACACAAGUGACAUCUUGCCUGAUAAAUACCUAGAUGGUCUUUUUCGGGAGCAGUGCUUGCAAGAGAACGUGUACAUCAACAUUCAACAUUAAUUUGUUAUUUGAAGACACUCAUUAUCAACAGGAGAGGAGACCAAGAGGCUGUAUCCCAGAGGCAGAAAUUAUAAUGGUCCAACGUCCAACGCUUUCAAAAGAGGAUUACAGCGCAAGCGGCUGGGAAGACAUAAGGACAGUGGUGCGCUGGCACACCUACAAAGACUAGACACAACAUUAAGUAGCCAAUGAGCGUUAUGUUUGUCUUGUGUAGAUAUGAUUUAUUGAUAUACCUAUUUAUUUGUUUUAAACAUAUUUAUUUAUAGUGUAGUAAUGUAUUCACAACUCUGUGGAGUAAAUCCUUUUUCAUACUGAAUACUCGUGUAUUUGAUUUAGGCUAUACAUAGCCUCAUGUAAUAAUGUUUUCGUACAUUCAUUUUUGUAUUUAUGAAGGCCAUUCCAUACUGUAUUUAUUAUUGCCACCUUAUAGGAAAUGUUUGUUUUUGUAAUAAUGAAAUAUUUUACAAUGAAAUAAAUUAUUUUACAAAUUUUU